rnacentral:lncRNA from 1 species
AUUUCAAAACGGGAAGAGUUACGCUUAUUAAGCAUAAACUUUACUGGUGAACAAACAAUCUAUUACUAGCAAGGUGUAAGGGGAUGAUUGGGAUAAACACAGAACCAGUAGGCACUUAGAAGAAGGCUGCAUUACAUAAGCAUUUUAUGAAACAAGACAUGUUUUUGAUUUAACCAUAGUUCUGACAACAGCAUUAUAUAGCUGCUUUACCUUUAGACCAAGAUCAUCAGCAUAACUUAAACUCGGAUACCUAGUAAAGAUCACCCUCCUUGUGAGUGUGGAUCACACAAUCAGAGGUUGGGUAAGAAACACACGUAAGCAGAUAACCCUCUUUCAUUUGAUUGUCGUCCAGAAAAGAUCCGUCAGAUUGAUCGACAGAGCCCGACUCUAUCUUACCAGCACAAGUCGAGCAAGCACCGGCCCUGCACGAAUAAGGGAGUUCGACUCCAGCUUCCUCAGCAGCAUCGAGAAUGUAUGUAUCAGAUGGUGCUUCAAACUCAUGUUCUGUACCAUCUGGACAAACCAGCUUGACCUUGUACACGUUUGCUGAUGCUCUAAAACCAGAGUCAGCUUUCAAGCCAAUGGAUUUCGAGAUGCUCCGCACAGAACCCAGAGAAGAUGGGAUUUUAACAAAUGCGCUCUUUUUCUGAGUUUGAGGAGCAGCUUUGAACAUGCAGGUGGGAGG